AGAUAUCUGGAUGACCAGCUGCAGAAAGGAGCUACUCAUUCCAGGGCCUCCUCUCUGCUGAGAGCAGCAGACAUCAGGAUGACCAGCUGCAGAGAGGAGCUACCCACUCCAGGGCCUCCUCUUUGAUGAGAGCUGCAGAGACAGUGGGACAACCUGUCUGCAGAGAAAAGGAAUACAACAUGUUUAAGACCACAGAACAUCUGCAUAGGCUGUAAAUUUCGUUGAAUGAUGGAUGCAAAGAUGGAAGACAGAUGGAUAGAGGAAAAGACAGAAUCAGAUACUGGAUGAGUUAGUACUGCUGCCUGUGCUUCAGAGCUGUCUUAUUACCACAAGGCCGGCAAGCAUCAAUGUCCCCACAUCCCCCUCUGCCUCCCCCUGAAAUGUACCGAUUUAUAUGAAAAUUAAGAUUACAAAUUAAAGCCUGGCUAUCCUGGAGUUUUCCAGUUCAUCAGCCAUCCAAUAAAAAUGAUGUCAAGCCUGUAUGCAUAAUUCCCGGAAGAUUACUUUCGUCCUUACAGCUAAGCCCUGUCCCUGAUAUGAAAGAUCUCUAUCCACUUUUAUUGAAAUAAAGAACUAACAUCAUAAUCCCA
rnacentral:lncRNA from 1 species